rnacentral:rRNA from 1 species
UACGGAGGGUGCAAGCGUUAAUCGGAAUUACUGGGCGUAAAGAGUGCGUAGGCGGUUUGAUAAGCGGAGUGUGAAAUCCCCGGGCUUAACCUGGGAACUGCAUUCCGAACUGUCAAGCUAGAGUAUGAUAGAGGGUGGUGGAAUUCCGAGUGUAGCGGUGAAAUGCGUAGAUAUUCGGAGGAUUUUUUAAUGAGACGGCGACCACCGAGAUCUACACUGACGCUGAGGCACGAAAGCGUGGGGAGCAAACAGG